rnacentral:rRNA from 1 species
GGGCCCGCACAAGCGGUGGAGCAUGUGGUUUAAUUCGAUGAUACGCGAGGAACCUUACCAGGGCUUAAAUGGGAAAUGACAGGGGCAGAGACGCCCCCUUCUUCGGACAUUUUUCAAGGUGCUGCAUGGUUGUCGUCAGCUCGUGCCGUGAGGUGUCAGGUUAAGUCCUAUAACGAGCGCAACCCCUACCGUUAGUUGCCAGCGUGUAAUGACGGGGACUCUAACGGAACUGCCGGUGCAAACCGUGAGGAAGGUGGGGACGACGUCAAGUCCUCAUGGCCCUUACGGGUUGGGCUACACACGUGCUACAAUGGUAGUGACAAUGGGUUAAUCCCAAAAAGCUAUCUCAGUUCGGAUUGUCGUCUGCAACUCGACGGCAUG